rnacentral:lncRNA from 1 species
GUAAUCCGAUUAGGGUCUGAAUUUAGCCUGGACUGGUAAUUCAGAUUCGAGCUCAUUAAGGGUUUUUGUCGUUAUAAGGGAUUUAGCCUGGACUGGUAAUCCCGACAUCACCUUAUGAGUUCAUGAUAUGGGGGAUUUAGCCUGGACUGGUAAUCCUGCCAUGAGAUGUGAGGUUCGCGGGAGUACAUAUAUGUGAAAUGAUCAUUCAUAAGAUUUGACGGAUAAUGGGAAUUCCAU